CUUUUAGUUAGCAGCCGAGCUGUUAACCACUGUGCCACCAGGGCUCCAUUGUACCUACAGAAUCCCAUUAUUGUCGCCUUCCAAAGGAGCUGACAUUACCAGUCCUUAGGUUGACAAAUUCUCAUCAACUUUUGUGGAAAUUUUGGCUGCAGAAGGAGUAAAAGUCAAAGAAAGGCCAUAGACAGAUGGAUUUCAGUUUCAAGAUGACAUCAAGCCUUUCUUCUGGCAUUUUUUAACAUUCCAAAUGAGUAAGGGAUGGAGAUGCUGAAAGAUCUUACUGUAAAAUGAGUAAUUAAGAUAUUGUAUAUCAUAGUAGCAUAUAGUAGCAUGCUAUUAAACAGUUAUAUGGGCUCAGAUAUUGUAGCAGAUUGGCAAUGAAAACAGUAAGUGUCUUUUAUGCUGAAUUCAAUUCAUAAAUAACAUUAGAUACUUAACAUAUUGUUGAUUGAUCAAAAACCGUUUGGACCUGGGUAUAUAUUUUUAGCAUUAAAAAAUUGGAAUUGAAAGAUAAUUGGGUUACAAACUCUUGGGUUGAAGCAAGGGUUCUGGGUAAGAAUUUGGCAAAAGCUUAUUUGCAUAAAAAUGCUUGCAUUUUUGUAUGACUAGGGCAUGAUUUUUUCAUGGAUGCAUAUUAUAUAAAAAUUACUGACUUACUAAAGUUUCUGAUUGAUUCAUUUAAUCCCCUCCCCCCUCCUGCUUCUUUUAAAUGGUAGAGGUUCUCUUUUGGAGAGUAGUUUCAAGUAACUUCUGAGAAUGAAGUCUUUGUAACUUGAUGCUGUUCAACAACAUAACUAUUGUUGUACGUUCCUGUCAGGAAAAGAUAGUCAUUGCAAUACUUUUAUUGUAUGGCCUCUUAAUGUGACAAGGAUUUUUAUUAAGAAUUCUUUUUUUUUAAAGUACUUUUGAAAGUGUCCCUAUCCUCGUCAACCAAGAAUUGCAGUGGUUUUAAAAAGAUUUAAAUAAAUUUUGACCAUUUCACUCACUGUAUGGACAAAAGUCUGAUUUUUAACAAAGGUUUUGAAAUUCUUGUGUUUUAGAUUUUCAGUAAAAUGAAGUAGGAAUAGAAAUUAAGAAAGAAGUGACAUCUCAUUGGACCUAGGAUAUAUACAGUGCUUUGGAGAAUGAGGAUAUGCAGUCUUAAAUGUUAGGGUUAAAGAACUAAUUGUUCUAAAGAUAUUUGCUCAUAGUCUUAGAAAAAGAUGACAAACAUGCAAAAUGGAUAAAUGUAUUCCUUUGUACUUUUACCACCUACAUUUUUAAACUACAGCAACUCUAAUUUCUCUGGAAAGGUCAGAGGUUUCAGACAGAAAGCUUUGUAAUUCUUCAAAGAGAGACAUUUUCAGUUUUGCUAUAUAAAGACAGAUUAUGCAUAGCUUUUACUUUAUUUACAAUUGAGACUUGGAGGUACUGGGAGGGGGUGUUGAAUAAGUGAAGCCAUGCCAUGAGACAGCAGAAUUUCUGGACGGAAACAUAGUUUGGAGAGAAAUAUAGAUUCACAUAUUUGGCCCUUUACUACCAAAUCACCUUGUUUAAAAAUGAGGAUUAAAGUAGCUUUAAUGAUUCAUUUUGCUUUGUAACAGAGCAUUCUGUUCUGGUUCCACUAUUAUUUAUGGAGUUGGAGAUAUUUAUCUUCUUUUCCAGACCUUUUUCUCAGAUCUUUUGCUCAUUUACCAUAGGAACCUCUACCUGUUUUAAAAUAAGCCAUUAAAGAUGGAGCUUUUACUGCUCUUCUUAGAAAAUAUUUUCCACAUUUUGGUGGGGGGAACCCGUGAGGAACCCAACACAUUUCCAGCCUGUUAAACACUUCCAUAAAAUCAUUUAUGGUUGCUAAAUUUUCAGUUGUAUCCAUAUUGUAAAUCAAGAAUGAUAUUCCCUAGGUAGCUUCAAGACUAGGAUACAUAUUGUCGAGGUAAUUUGAGUCAGAUUCUGCCUAGAAAUAAGAGAAUUUGUUAUAAACUUUUCAAACACUUGAGCAGUUCAAGGAGUUUGCUUUUCUGGGUGUCAUUUCUUAGGAUUGACUUUGCUGGAUUUUCUGAAUUGUGGAUAUGGGUUUCUGUGGUUUUAUGUGGGUUUCUUUGUUUUAAUUUUGUUUUCCUUUUGGACUUCUCCAAGCUUUGUAGAAUUUUUCACUUUGGGUGGUGGAGGGAGCAGAGACUGUAGAUGACUUUUGUUGUGGGUUGCUCCUGUUAGUCAGGAAACAGGUUUAGGGAGUGUUAGUAAUCACCCAUAGUCAAGAGUAAGUGGCAAAGCCAGUAUUCAAGCCAAAUCCAUCAGAUCCCAGACUUGUGCUUUUAACCUCAACUAUACUUGAAUUAUCUUUUCUUAUGCAUUAUUUUAAUAGCUCUUCAUAUACACCUUAAAUUUUAGGUGGGGGAACUUUUAUUAUUGCCUUGAUGUAGGUUGCAGAAACAGAGUCAGAGAUGGGCUGAGUCACUUGUCCAAGGUUACAUGGUUGUUCAGUGGUUAGGAUUCAUAACUAGGUUGAACCCUUCUGUGGCCUGUUUUUUUUCUCUAAUGUGUUCCUCAGUAUAUCAGACUCCCUAAGCUCUGCUUCUGAAUUUAUGGAUGGGCUAAAAAGUUUUCCUUGUGUGUACAUAAUUACGCUGAAAGCCACUGUUUUCUCUGAAGUUUAAAAUCUGUAGGAAACUAGAGCUUUUUCUGUUUUGAUAUUAGAUUUAGAGUUUCAUACCUUGAAGGAAACUUAGAAGCCCAAACCUUCAUUUUACAGGUGAGGAAACUGAAUCCAUGCAUCCCAGGAGCUAUGGAGCUGAAAAAAUUCUUGUAUAAAUUGGACAACAGUUGUAGCCUGUUAUCACUUGCAUCAAGGAGCAUCACAGAUUUGAUGGAGUUCUUUCCACAUGCAGAUUUGAAGAGGAUGCAUUUUAGUGCUGAUGUGCACAUUUAACUCUGGACAGUAGAA